rnacentral:rRNA from 1 species
GACGUAGGGCGCGAGCGUUGUCCGGAUUUAUUGGGCGUAAAGAGCUCGUAGGCGGCUUGUCGCGUCGUCUGUGAAAUCCCGCGGCUCAACCGCGGGUCUGCAGUCGAUACGGGCAGGCUAGAGUUCGGUAGGGGGAGACUGGAAUUCCUGGUGUAGCGGUGAAAUGCGCAGAUAUCAGGAGGAACACCGGUGGCGAAGGCGGGUCUCUGGGCCGAUACUGACGCUGAGGAGCGAAAGCGUGGGGAGCGAACAGG